UUUUUCAUCAGUUUUAUCCAUUCCUAGUUAUUAUCCAACUCAUGGUCCCAAACCUGCCCUCCUUCCAUCAGACAUGAAGCAGAUGCCUUUGAAGGAGCUCUGGUGCUUUUUGGAGAUCUCCUCCCACAGCCCAUAGUAUGUGCCUCUAAAGAACUACCAUUGGCAUACAGCAGCUCAUGAAUAAUUGUCUCAAAGAGCUUCAUGGAAGAUCAUAGCCUGUUCAGAUUAAAUAAUUUUCCAGAGGAUCAGAAACUUUGUGACACUCUGUACCUCAAAGUAGCACCCUGGAAUCCCCACAUUCACCUCCGUGAUGUCAUUAAGAUAUGUUUGUACA